AGCGAACGCUGGCGGCAGGCCUAACACAUGCAAGUCGAACGAAGUCUUCGGACUUAGUGGCGGACGGGUGAGUAACACGUGGGAACGUACCUUUUGGUUCGGAACAACUCAGGGAAACUUGAGCUAAUACCGGAUGAGCCCUUAGGGGGAAAGAUUUAUCGCCGAAAGAGCGGCCCGCGUUAGAUUAGCUAGUUGGUGAGGUAAAGGCUCACCAAGGCUACGAUCUAUAGCUGGUCUGAGAGGAUGAUCAGCCACACUGGGACUGAGACACGGCCCAGACUCCUACGGGAGGCAGCAGUGGGGAAUCUUGCGCAAUGGGCGAAAGCCCGACGCAGCCAUGCCGCGUGAAUGAUGAAGGUCUUAGGAUUGUAAAACUCUUUUACCAGGGACGAUAAUGACGGUACCUGGAGAAAAAGCCCCGGCUAACUUCGUGCCAGCAGCCGCCGUAAUAC
rnacentral:rRNA from 1 species